UAACGGACAACCGUCUAUAU
rnacentral:miRNA from 1 species